CGAGUUUGAUCCUGGCUCAGAACGAACGCUGGCGGCAUGCCUAAUACAUGCAAGUCGAACGAGCCCUUCGGGGUUAGUGGCGCACGGGUGCGUAACGCGUGGGAAUCUGCCCUUGGGUUCGGAAUAACGUCUGGAAACGGACGCUAAUACCGGAUGAUGACGAAAGUCCAAAGAUUUAUCGCCCAGGGAUGAGCCCGCGUAGGAUUAGCUAGUUGGUGGGGUAAAGGCCUACCAAGGCGACGAUCCGUAACUGGUCUGAGAGGAUGAUCAGUCACACUGGAACUGAGACACGGUCCAGACUCCUACGGGAGGCAGCAGUGGGGAAUAUUGGACAAUGGGCGAAAGCCUGAUCCAGCCAUGCCGCGUGUGUGAAGAAGGUCUUCGGAUUGUAAAGCACUUUAAGUUGGGAGGAAGGGCAGUAAGUUAAUACCUUGCUGUUUUGACGUUACCAACAGAAUAAGCACCGGCUAACUUCGUGCCAGCAGCCGCGGUAAUACGAAGGGUGCAAGCGUUAAUCGGAAUUACUGGGCGUAAAGCGCGCGUAGGUGGUUUGGUAAGAUGGAUGUGAAAUCCCCGGGCUCAACCUGGGAACUGCAUCCCAUACUGCCUGACUAGAGUACGGUAGAGGGUGGUGGAAUUUCCUGUGUAGCGGUGAAAUGCGUAGAUAUAGGAAGGAACACCAGUGGCGAAGGCGAUCACCUGGACUGAUACUGACACU
rnacentral:rRNA from 1 species